rnacentral:rRNA from 1 species
AUUGAACGCUGGCGGCAUGCUUUACACAUGCAAGUCGAACGGUAACAGGCCUUCGGGUGCUGACGAGUGGCGAACGGGUGAGUAAUGCAUCGGAACGUACCCAGAGGUGGGGGAUAACGCAGCGAAAGCUGUGCUAAUACCGCAUGUGAUCUGAGGAUGAAAGCGGGGGACCGAGGAGCAAUGUUUGGCCUCGCGCCUUUGGAGCGGCCGAUGUCGGAUUAGCUAGUUGGUGGGGUAAAGGCCUACCAAGGCGACGAUCCGUAGCUGGUCUGAGAGGACGACCAGCCACACUGGGACUGAGACACGGCCCAGACUCCUACGGGAGGCAGCAGUGGGGAAUUUUGGACAAUGGGCGCAAGCCUGAUCCAGCAAUGCCGCGUGCGGGAAGAAGGCCUUCGGGUUGUAAACCGCUUUUGGCAGGAACGAAACGGUGUCCGCUAAUACCGGGCGCUAAUGACGGUACCUGCAGAAUAAGCACCGGCUAACUACGUG